rnacentral:sRNA from 1 species
UCAAGUUAAAGCAAAGCUUAAAGCUACAGUUCUAUUUGAAUAUAAACUUUUCAAAAAGUAUUAUCGAAACAAUGAAAGUUUUGCUAUUCGUUGCCUUUGUGUUGGCUAUCUUUGUUACACAAGGUGAAGCCGGUUGGUUAAGAGAUUUUGGAAAGAAAAUUGAACGUGUUGGUCAACAUACUCGCGAUGCCACCCUUCAAGUUAUUGAUAUUGCCCAAAAGGCUGCAAAUGUUGCUGAAACAUUUAAAGGAUGAUUAUGAAGCAGACUGAUUUUUUAGGAUAACAAAUUUAAGAUAUUGUAUAAAAUAGAUAUUUAUUUAUUAAAAAUUGAUAAUAAACCAUUUCAAUUAACAAAAGUU